rnacentral:misc_RNA from 1 species
GAAUUAAAAAUUCAGGACAAAACAGAACUAGAACUGAAAAAGUUAAAAGCAGAGGAUAUGGAUAAAGACGGAAUGAAAGAGGCUGAAGUGAGAAGGAGAUUAAUGGAUAUUUUGGAGAGGUAUAAUAUGAAAAAGAUGAUUUCUGUGCCUCAGCCCGAAGAUAUGAGCAAUGAACUACCUGAGACAUUUGACCAUCAGCUGAGAGAUAAAAAGCUGCAGAAACUGUGGAAAAAGGCCCAGUUUGGUGGAUUUUCAGAGUGGGAAUUAGAUAAACUGAAAGAGGAAUUUCUGCACCAUCAAAUGAAGGUGGAUGAAUAUAACUCUCUACAUGAAGAUAUUAAAGAUGAUUAUAUAGAUAACUCAAUUGAUUUGGAUCAGAACAAAGUACGGUACAUGGAUGAGAAAAAGAAACAAAAAAAGCUGAAGUUGAUAUAUAAAGAUCUGAAAACAGACUAUGACAAACUGGAGGCCAUUGCUUCAUCUUCCAGUGUGAAGGACAAAACAUUCCAAGAUCCACGAGUCUAUGAACUCUGGGCCCUCGCACAAAAAGCCAAAAUACCAAGAGAGGAAUUGGAAUCUUUUAAGAAAGAACUGCAGCACUUUGAGCAUAGACUACAGAAGCAUGACCAUUACCAAGACCAGCUGAGGGUGUCGGAGGAGGCGGUCAGGAUCAACUACAAAGAUGGAGAGAAGCCGGAGAAACACACUCAACUGGAACAAACGGUGCGAGACUACGGCAGGAAGGUGGAGAAAUAUCACAAUGACUUGAAGUACAGGAUCAGCAAAGCCGUCCAACAGCACACAGAGCUGUGAUAAUUGUAACCGGGCAGUAGCUGACAUCACUGGAGAACAGAACAGGAAAAGUUCAUGAGAGUAAAGAGACGCAUGUGGUUGAAAUUAAGUGGUUACAGAAAAAGAAAGCAGCAAACUUAAACAAAACAAUGCCAUAAUACUCUUCAAAAUGUGCCUUGUGUAGCAUAAUACUAAGUAAAACUAGAAACAUAAUGAAAUGAAAGAUCAUGGGUGCAAUAGAUGUCUAUUUUGGGGGUAAAUAUUAAGUCAGACACAAUUUGAAAGUUCCUCCUUUGAAAUGAUUUCAUGUUUAGGGAUAUACAUCAAGUUUGAGAAAUAAUCAAACCAUAGCAAAGAUGGGAUCAUGUGUUGAUUGCAUUCGAUUGUUAGUGUGCAUAUCCAAACAUCAACAAAAUGAUGGAUUCUUAAACCUGUAAAGGGCCGCAUAGGUUGUGAGUUUUUGUCACUCUCAUUCCUUUUUUUUUAAUUGACAAAAAAGUAAUUAUGAGGGAAAUUAAAAAACUAUUUCCUUGACUAAUAAACAGUAUUUAUAUAAAACAAACUUAUGUGUUUGCAUGUGCAAUCCAAUUUUGUGAAAUAUUGUAUUUUUAAUACAUUUAUAUCUUGUAAAUGUAAAUAAAUUUACCUAUAUCAGUGAACUAAAUAUAAGUAAGCCAC